CUAAAAAGCAAACAAGGCUAAUAAUACCUUUUCCAAAAUAACCCAAUGAUAAAUUGGACAUUUAGUACAUUUUCUACUACUCAAACAAGAGAGUUAAUUUCAGCAUAAGCCUGUAAAUCUGGGCUUUUGGUCAGACUGGGGCAGGGGGGGAAAGGCAGAUUUCCCUAGACUAUAGAAUAAAGGAACCUUAAAAGGCAGUCUGAGAAGAAUGAAUAUUGACGCAGAGAAAAUCUUAAAACAAAAAGCUUAGAACAUUAAAUAGAAUUUCAAAGUUAGAUUUGCGUCCUAACACUGAAAAUUCAUUAGAAAAUUUGUGGAUUUAAAAUAACUUCUAACCAUUUGUUAACUGCCUAAACAAUAUACUACUUGGUAAAUAAAAUGUCAGUCCUAGUGUCUAGCUGUUUGAACAUGUUAUUUUAAAACAAACAGUUGUAAAGUUAAAUGUAUAAUUUCAAUACAAUGUAGAAAACCCAAAGACAAAACGAAAUAUACUGAUAUGCAGCAAAAUAUCCGUGUUAAUGAAAAAUAAAAUAUUCCCUUUCUCCUCAAAGUUUGCUUACAUUUCUAAAAAUGAUAAAUGUCUCUAGAUUUCUUGUGCUCUUUUUAUUAACACUACACACACAUUUUGAAGAGAACAGAGAUUGCUUUAUUUUUAAUCCCAUUAUUUCUAUGUCUUUAACAAGCUCUUACCAACAAAAAAUUGUUCGCAAGUGAAACAGACAUCAGCUAGAACAAGAAGGAAAAAAGCCUCAAUCUUCCUCAGCCUGAACUACGGGUGAUUCUGAAACAAUCUAAUUCAGCUUUGGUUUUUAAAAUAAAAAUGAACACACACAUUUAUAAAAUAAACUUGGAGGGAGGGACUCUACCUCUGGGUAAUAAUAAACCUUUUGAUUAUAGAGUUCUCAACAGAAACAAUAUGCUGAUAACAAUUCACAAAUCGCAGAUUUCCAAAAUAAAAGAGAAGCAAGAACAUGAGAAUUUGUGUUUUCAAGUGCUGCUUAGGUUAAAUGCCUGUCUUAAACCAGAUAGACAAUUAUCUUCAAUAUCCAAAUCAUUAAAACUAACUGGAAUGUUGUACUGCAAUUGUUCAAAGUGGAGGAAUUACCCAUUUCUUCUCGUGGCUAUCUACCAGGAAAAUUAAGGGAAACUCUCAAAUAGAUCUUAACAUUUAACAACAACAACAACAAAGACUAAUAGUAGUAGUAUUUCACAAAUCAUUUUUUAAAAAGCAUAGCCCCUUUCUAUAGCUCACCUAAUCUUUUAAAUUAUGCCUCCUCAAUGCUAUUUUAAUGUUUAGGGUUAAAGAAAUGAAUUAAACAUUUAAAAUCUUAAGAGAACAAUCCAUGUGAUAGAAUCCUUGCAUUUCACAAAAUGUUUUCAUUUUAAGCAUUUGUAGAAGAGUUACAUAAACGUAGUACACAUUCUAAAUUCAAUAAAAGAUUCAGAAAACCCGACAUUUUAUGUACCCCAAAGGUCCAAACAGAACCGAUGCAAAUGUCAAUAGUUCUUUCUCUCCCAGCUGAUACUUAAAUGGUUUUACUAGUACCCAAAGGAAUGAAAUCAGCAACUCUCCCCACACUCAAGUCAACACUCUAAUUUUCAAAGCCGCAAUUCGCAAACGUCAGUUUGGGUAGGGAACAGUGGGGGUCUUGAAGUCAUUAAAAAAUCCCUUUUCUCCUCUGACAGUCUACCAAAAGAUGUCAAACCAAAUUCAACCUAUUGUAAAGCACUGGAACCUCCCUUCCAAGGACACAGGACACAAACAUAGACGCCGCUGCAAAAAGCUGUCCAAAAGCGCCCAGCCCGACAGAAACGUUAAGGGGUCCAGAUAAGAACGAAAAUUAGAACCCUCAAGAGGGUCCCGCAGAGACAGCGGAAAUGAAGGUGGAAUUUAUUCAGGGGUAGACAGCAACGAACCAAAGAAAGUUGCCCCAGUCUGACUCUUGGACCUUUUAAAAUCCAACUUCAGGCUCAAGGCAGAGAUGUAUUUGUGGGGGGUCCCUUCCUCUACAGACAUUUCAGCCACCUCUGGGGCCCACUACCGCUCAAAGGGAAGCCCCUCUAACUUCACAUCCAUUCCUUUUGCCCCCGGACAAAGGCAGAGGAGGCUGUUGAGCUGACCUAGCUCUGUGGGGCAGCCAAAAUGCCUUGUCCAGGCCACCCAUUCUUGGGCCUGGCUUCAUCUGCGAUGUCAGCAUCAAUGUAUUAUUUUUAUUUUUAUAAAGCAUCCUGGGCGGGUAUAUGCAUUGCGGGAGGGGCGGGGGGUUGAACACAGGAGAGGAGGGGUUGGUAGUGGAGCCUAGAAUCCUCCUUCCUCUCCCCUCCUGCCAGGGUUGCUGUGCAGGGAGUGUCGGCCACGUUUGGCGCACUGUCCCAGGCCCCUGGCGAAGGUGGCCAGGGGAAAUGGGGCUUAGGGAUUGCUAAGCAAACGGCACCACUGGUGGUCCCCAGCGCCUGCGGAGUUUAUCCUAGGUAUUCUAUUCUGAACUUCCAGUUUUCCUGAAAAUUCUCUUGCCUCUUUAUCGCUGGAAAUUUUAACUUCACCCAGUGAUGCUGUGAUCCCAUCCUGGAUCAUCACAAUUUCUUGGCAGAUAUUCACUUCUAUUCUGAUCAAGGGACAUCAGGAGCUGCUGAAGGAAGACUGACUCCUGCCAAAGCUCCCUUCAAAUCGGGGCUUUUCCUUUAUGUCAUGCAGUGAGACAAAAGGUGUCUUCCUUGGAGAAAUUGAACAAAGAACCUCUGGACCUGGGCCUACUGGGAUCUGAGGAAUGAGUCUGAAAACAAAGGUUGAAACAAAGGAGCAUUUUCCUCCACUCCAGAAAGCCUGUAUUUACUAGCAGAA